rnacentral:lncRNA from 1 species
UUAUCAUGCAAAGGAAGAUUCUUUCAUCUUUUCACUCCACAUGUUCCCUAUGAUCCACUUUUCAUUCCAUUGUCUCCCAAAGCUUCCAUUUUCUCCCAUUUGCCAAGCUUGAACCAUCCAUCCCACCUAAGGUAGCCACCAUUCACAUUUUUCUUUCAUUUUGUUUCUUUCUCCCUUUUUUUUAUUUUAUUUUAGCCUUUAAACCUCCUCAUUUUCACCACUAAUUUCUAUUCUUUUCACCACCACUUGAUAUCAUUCUCCAUCACCAAACCACCACUUCACCAUCGUCGUUCAUCGCCGUAGCACCGCCACACCACCAUUGUCAUUAGUCACCAUUUUUCACCAAUUUUUAUCUUCUCUUAACUUCUUUAGUGAUAAUUAAUCUAUUCUUUUUU